UACGGAGGAUGCAAGCGUUAUCCGGAAUGAUUGGGCGUAAAGCGUCCGCAGGUGGCUAUGUAAGUCUGCUGUUAAAGAGUCUGGCUCAACCAGAUAAAGGCAGUGGAAACUACAUGGCUAGAGUGCGUUCGGGGCAGAGGGAAUUCCUGGUGUAGCGGUGAAAUGCGUAGAGAUCAGGAAGAACACCGGUGGCGAAAGCGCUCUGCUAGGCCGCAACUGACACUGAGGGACGAAAGCUAGGGGAGCGAAUGGG
rnacentral:rRNA from 1 species